rnacentral:rRNA from 1 species
GGAUUAGAUACCCUGGUAGUCCACGCCGUAAACGAUGGAUACUAGCUGUUGGGAGCAAUCUCAGUGGCUAAGCGAAAGUGAUAAGUAUCCCACCUGGGGAGUACGUUCGCAAGAAUGAAACUCAAAGGAAUUGACGGGGGCCCGCACAAGCGGUGGAGCAUGUGGUUUAAUUCGAUGAUACGCGAGGAACCUUACCAAGGCUUAAAUGUAGAUUGACAGAUUUGGAAACAGAUUUUUCUUCGGACAAUUUACAAGGUGCUGCAUGGUUGUCGUCAGCUCGUGCC